UACGAAGGUGGCAAGCGUUACUCGGAAUUACUAGGCGUAAAGGGCAGGUAGGUGGUCCGAUAAGUCUGUUGUGAAAGCUCCCGGCUCAACUGGGAGAGGCCAACAGAAACUAUCGGGCUUGAGUAUAGGAGAGGGUACUGGAAUUCCCGGUGUAGCGGUGAAAUGCGCAGAGAUCGGGAGGAACACCAAUGGCGAAAGCAGGUACCUGGACUAUUACUGACACUCAACUGCGAAAGCUAGGGGAGCAAACAGG
rnacentral:rRNA from 1 species